GAUCGCGUAGCUCAGUUGGUAGAGCACUACCUUGACAUGGUAGGGGCCGUUGGUUCAAGUCCAAUCGUGAUCACCA
rnacentral:tRNA from 2 species